CCUACGGGCUGCAGCAGUGGGGAAUAUUGGACAAUGGGGGGAACCCUGAUCCAGCCAUGCCGCGUGUGUGAAGAAGGCCCUCGGGUUGUAAAGCACUUUCAGUGAGGAAGAACGCCUGGUGGUUAAUACCCAUCAGGAAAGACAUCACUCACAGAAGAAGCACCGGCUAACUCCGUGCCAGCAGCCGCGGUAAUACGGAGGGUGCGAGCGUUAAUCGGAAUUACUGGGCGUAAAGCGCGCGUAGGUGGCUUGAUAAGCCGGUUGUGAAAGCCCCGGGCUCAACCUGGGAACGGCAUCCGGAACUGUCAAGCUAGAGUGCAGGAGAGGAAGGUAGAAUUCCCGGUGUAGCGGUGAAAUGCGUAGAGAUCGGGAGGAAUACCAGUGGCGAAGGCGGCCUUCUGGACUGACACUGACACUGAGGUGCGAAAGCGUGGGUAGCAAACAGGAUUAGAUACCCUUGUAGUC
rnacentral:rRNA from 1 species